rnacentral:tRNA from 1 species
CAGGGAGACAACAAAAUGUUUAAUAUUAUUAUUUUGUCACCUUAGGUCGAUCGGUAUCUCACGUUUUUAAUUUAUUAAGAAUUUCAUUUCCUAAGUUUUUUCUAGGUCACACCCAUUAUUUUCCUGGGCCAUUAGCUCAGGUGGUUAGAGCGCACCCCUGAUAAGGGUGAGGUCCCUGGUUCAAGUCCAGGAUGGCCCAUAUCUCUAUGUUGGGGGUAUAGCUCAGUUGGUAGAGCGCCUGCUUUGCAAGCAGGAUGUCAGCGGUUCGAGUCCGCUUACCUCCACUGAUUACCACCUCCUCCAUAUUUUUGGAGUAAGGAAAAUUUUGAGUUGUGAUCAAUUUCUGAACGAAUCUAGCUUCCUAAUGUAAUCAUUAAGAUGCUGGACUCAUUGAAUUAUUUUCAUUGUUUUCAGAGAACCUUGACAACUGCAUAGAUUAUUUUAAAGACAAUAAGCAUCUUUAAUGAUGCAGAUUUAUUAUUUGUGCGAAUGCAUUAAAUAACAAUUCUAUUAAGCUGAUGCUUCAAUUUUUGAAGUUAUU